UACGUAGGGGGGCGAGCGUUGUCCGGAUUUACUGGGCGUAAAAGAGCGCGUAGGCGGAGCGUUAAGUCCGGUCUGAAAGCCCCCGGCUCAACCGGGGGAAGGUGGCUGGAAACUGGCGUUCUUGAGGGCGAUAGAGGCGGGCGGAAUUCCUGGUGUAGCGGUGAAAUGCGUAGAGAUCAGGAGGAACACCCGUGGCGAAGGCGGCCCGCUGGGUCGACCCCUGACGCUGAGGCGCGAAAGCGUGGGGAGCGAACAGG
rnacentral:rRNA from 1 species